rnacentral:misc_RNA from 1 species
GCAAUAUCAGUUGAUGGGAACAAUAAGCUUUGUGGAGGUAUAUCUGAACUUCGGUUGCCCAAAUGCACUCUAAAAGAGUCUAAGAAAAGGAAAAUGCCUCUGUCACUUGUGUUGUCAAUAUCAAUAACAUGUGCCAUUCUUGUAGUAAUUGCUGUGUCAUCUACCUUAUACUGCUGUCGGAGAAGGAGAAGAAAGAAAGAGCCCUCUUCAGAUACAUUGUUGCAGGAGCCAUUGCAAAGAGUUUCUUAUGGAAUGCUUCUUAAAGCGACUGAUGGAUUCUCUUCUUCUAAUUUAAUUGGAGUGGGAAGCUUCGGUUCUGUAUAUAAAGGAAUCCUUGGUCAAGAUGAGACAAUUGUUGCAAUCAAGGUACUUAACCUUCAACAUCCGGGAGCUUCUAAAAGCUUCAUGGCUGAGUGUGAAGCCUUGAGAAAUAUUCGUCACCGAAACCUAGUAAAGAUCAUAACCGUUUGCUCAAGCUCUGACUUCCAAGGAAAUGAUUUUAAGGCUCUGAUUUAUGAGUUCAUGUCCAAUGGAAGUUUGGAGAUGUGGUUACAUUCAAACCCACAAGCUGGUGAUCAGGGUAACGAAGCUAGGCAUCUAAAUCUUCUUCAAAGAAUAAACAUUGCCAUUGAUGUGGCAUCUGCACUUGAUUACCUGCAUCACCACUCCCAUCAGCCCAUUGUUCACUGU